UAGUCCACGCCCUAAACGAUGUUAACUCGAUGUUUGUAUUUAUAUGAGCAUCCAAGGGAAACCGUUAAGUUAACCACCUGGGAAGUACGUUCGCAAGAAUGAAACUCAAAGGAAUUGACGGGGGUCCGCACAAGCGGUGGAGCACGUGGUUUAAUUCGAUGAUACGCGAGGAACCUUACCAGGGCUUAAAUGUAAGUUGCAUGAUUUAGAGAUAGAUCUUUCUUCGGACUACUUACAAGGUGCUGCAUGGUUGUCGUCAGCUCGUGCCGUGAGGUGUCAGGUUAAGUCCUAUAACGAGCGCAACCCCUACCGUUAGUUGCCAGCAUGUUAUGAUGGGGACUCUAGCGGGACUGCCGGUGCAAACCGAGAGGAAGGUGGGGAUGACGUCAAAUCAUCACGGCCCUUACGUCCUGGGCUACACACGUGCUACAAUGGUAACGACAGAGGGCAGCCACCACGCGAGUGGGAGCGAAUCCUUAAACGUUAUCUCAGUUCGGAUCGGAGUCUGCAACUCGACUCCGU
rnacentral:rRNA from 1 species